UGGCACUGCCUUUGAACCUGUGUUGCCCUCACCGUGGUUUCAUAGGCCAAGCUGCAGUGCAAUAUUAAUGUUCUUGUUAUAACUGGGGCCUCUUGGCACUUUCACCAAGUUGCUCUUUUAAAUGCAAGUUACAUCU